CCCUUAGAUGUUCUGGGCCGCACGCGUGCUACACUGAUGCACUCAACGAGUCUCCACCUUGACCGAGAGGUCCGGGAAACCUUCGAACUUGCAUCGUGAUGGGGAUAGAUUAUUGCAACUAUUAAUCUUCAACGAGGAAUUCCUAGUAAGCGCGAGUCAUCAGCUCGUGCUGAUUACGUCCCUGCCCUUUGUACACACCGCCCGUCGCUCCUACCGAUUGAGUGCUCAGGUGAAUAAUUCGGACUGCAGCAAUGUUCGGAUCCCGAACGUUGCAGCGGAAAGUUUAGUGAACCUUAUCACUUAGAGGAAGGAGAAGUCGUANCA
rnacentral:rRNA from 1 species